rnacentral:sRNA from 1 species
UACAUUAAAAAAACUGGUGCGCAUAACUUUCAAAACCUGGUGCGCUCGACUUUUGAAUUGGUGCACACGAGUUUGAAAGUUGUGCUCGCCAAUUUGAAAGUCAUAUGAACAAGUUUGAAAGGCAUGUGCACAAGUUUGAAAGAUAUGUGCACAUAAGUUUGAAAGUCAUGUGCACAAGUUUGAAAGUCAUGAACACCAGUUUGAAAGUCAUGUGCGCCAGUUCUUAAAGUU